rnacentral:lncRNA from 1 species
GGCUUCCCUGGCGGCUUCCACCGCGGCUAUGUCAGAAAUCCUUGGAAACCCCGUUAACCUCAGAUGCGCAACCAGGUCUGCUCCAUCACCAACUACACCUGCCACCUUCAAGACCGUCGCACUUUUCUCCAAGAAGAAGCCAGCUCCACCUCCAAAGAAAAAGCCUGCCGCUGUAUCCCCCGCCAAUGAGGAACUCGCCAAGUGGUAUGGUGAGUCACUCUCCAACUCCAAUAAUGGCCAUUUGUUUCUACACAUUUUCGUUUUCUUUUCUUUACAAUGAAUACAUAGUGUUUUAUAUUUAAUGUUAUAUCAUCCAUUUGUUUCAUGAUGAAGUAUUAGCUAACAUGAUUUUAGGUAAAUGUUCUCAUGUUUAGUUUCACAGUGAGAAAUU